rnacentral:lncRNA from 10 species
UGUAAGAAAAAAAGAAGAGUCUAGGAUGACUCUAAAUUUUUCACUUAAACAACUAGGAAUAACAGAAUUGUUCAGGACUGAAAUGAGGAAGACAGGAAGGAGCAGUUCGCAAGGUCAGGGAAUCAGGAAGUUUUUCUGGACACGUUAAAUGUGGGGUGCUUAACACUCAAGCAGAGAUGUCAAUUAGACAGCUGGAUACGUAAGUCUGGAAUUCAAGGGAGGAUGUACUUGGACUCUGACACCAUUUAAAGCCACAAGGCUGGAUGAGAACAAGUAGGGAGUAAUCCCUUGAGCACUCCAAACUUUUAACGGUCUCAGCAAUUAGAAUGGAAAAAGGAACAAAGGAGGCUGAGAAAGAGUAGCCAGUUCAAUAAGGAAAAUACAGCAUGUGGUGUCACAGAAGCCAAAUGAAGACAUUUUCUCAAGAGAGUAAUCAACUAAGUCAAAUCCUGCUAUGAAAUAAGGUGAGAACUGAGAAGUCACUAUUAGGAAGACCCCACUGACCUUGAGAAGAGUUGUUCUGUUAGCAUGAUGAAUGCAAAAGUAUGACUGGAGUGAGCUCAAGAGAGAAUGAAAGAAGACGGUGGAAGAUACCUGAUCACUGAUUGGCUUCUGCCUAAACUGUCCCCUUCACAGUGAAUGCAUACACCUGGGAUUGCAUAUUGCACUGUGAAUACCACACAAAUGAUGAGUGGAUGAACAAAAUGUGGUAUACACAUACCAUGGAAUAUUACUGAGCCCUAAAAAGGAAGGAAAAUCUGACACACACAACAUGGAUAAACCUUGAAGACAUUGUGCUAAGUGAAAAAAGCCAGACGCAAAAGGACAAACACUGUAUGAUUCCACUUAUAUGAUGAUGGUUGCAUACAUUGUGAACUGCAUUUAAUCCCACUGAACUGUAUAUAUAAAAAUGGUUAAAAUGUUAUAAUAAAUUUCAUGUUACGUAUAUUUUACC